CUUGGUCAUUUAGAGGAAGUAAAAGUCGUAACAAGGUUUCCGUAGGUGAACCUGCGGAAGGAUCAUUAUCGAGUUUUGAACGGGUUGUAGCUGGCCUCUCACGAGGCAUGUGCACGCCUGGCUCAUCCACUCUUAACCUCUGUGCACUUUAUGUAAGAGAAAAAAAUGGUGGAAGCUUCCAGGAUCUCGCGAGAGGUCUUUGGUUGAACAAGCCGUUUUUCUUUCUUAUGUUUUACUACAAACGCUUCAGUUAUAGAAUGUCAACUGUGUAUAACACAUUUAUAUACAACUUUCAGCAACGGAUCUCUUGGCUCUCGCAUCGAUGAAGAACGCAGCGAAAUGCGAUAAGUAAUGUGAAUUGCAGAAUUCAGUGAAUCAUCGAAUCUUUGAACGCACCUUGCACUCCUUGGUAUUCCGAGGAGUAUGCCUGUUUGAGUCUCAUGGUAUUCUCAACCCCUAAAUUUUUGUAAUGAAGGUUUAGCGGGCUUGGACUUGGAGGUUGUGUCGGCCCUUGUCGGUCGACUCCUCUGAAAUGCAUUAGCGUGAAUCUUACGGAUCGCCUUCAGUGUGAUAAUUAUCUGCGCUGUGGUGUUGAAGUAUUUAUGGUGUUCAUGCUUCGAACCGUCUCCUUGCCGAGACAAUCAUUUGACAAUCUGAGCUCAAAUCAGGUAGGACUACCCGCUGAACUUAAGCAUAUCAAUAAGCGGAGGAAAAGAAACUAACAAGGAUUCCCCUAGUAACUGCGAGUGAAGCGGGAAAAGCUCAAAUUUAAAAUCUGGCGGCUUUGGUCGUCCCGAGUUGUAUUCUAGAGAAGUGUUUUCCCGCGCCUGGACCGUGUACAACUCUCCUGUAUCUGCGCUGUGGUGUUGAAGUAUUUAUGGUGUUCAUGCUUCGAACCGUCUCCUUGCCGAGACAAUCAUUUGACAAUCUGAGCUCAAAUCAGGUAGGACUACCCGCUGAACUUAAGCAUAUCAAUAAGCGGAGGAAAAGAAACUAACAAGGAUUCCCCUAGUAACUGCGAGUGAAGCGGGAAAAGCUCAAAUUUAAAAUCUGGCGGCUUUGGUCGUCCCGAGUUGUAUUCUAGAGAAGUGUUUUCCCGCGCCUGGACCGUGUACAACUCUCCUGAA
rnacentral:rRNA from 1 species